AUCAACGGAAAGCUUUUGGCUAGGGUUUGGUUAGGACUGAUAAGCAGCUGAGGGUUUUCAGGUGAAAAGCUGAGGCUGGAGAAAGAGCAAGAGUUCUUGUGAUCUAUGUGAUAUAUAUGUAUAUAUAUAGUUCUUGUCUGCUGUCUUGUUGUAAUUUAUAGUGAAAGUUCUGUUGUAAUCUAUUGUAAAGAAAAUCAAGUGUAGAUUGACUUUGAAUAUUCUUGCAAG
rnacentral:miRNA from 1 species